rnacentral:rRNA from 1 species
UUUCGCAAUGCCCGAAAGGGUGACGAAGCGACGCCGCGUGUGGGAAGAAGGCCUUCGGGUUGUAAACCACUGUCGGGAGUUAAGAAAUGCAAGGGUGCUAAUAGUAUCCUUGCUUGACUAAGGCUCCGGAGGAAGCCACGGCUAACUCUGUGCCAGCAGCCGCGGUAAUACAGAGGCGGCAAGCGUUGUUCGGAAUUAUUGGGCGUAAGGAGCACGUAGGCGGCUAUGUAAGUCGGUUGUGAGAGCCUUCCGCUCAACGGAAGAACAGCAUCCGAUACUGCAUGGCUUGAGUGCGGGAGGGGAGAGUGGAACUUCUGGUGGAGCGGUGAAAUGCGUAGAUAUCAGAAGGAACGCCGGCGGCGAAAGCGGCUCUCUGGCCCAUAACUGACGCUGAGUGUGCGAAAGCUAGGGGAGCAAACGGGAUUAGAUACCCCGGUAGUCCUAGCCGUAAACGAUGGGCACUAAGUAGAGGGGUUUU